AAAUUGAAGAGUUUGAUCAUGGCUCAGAUUGAACGCUGGCGGCAGGCCUAACACAUGCAAGUCGAACGGUAACAGGAAGCAGCUUGCUGCUUCGCUGACGAGUGGCGGACGGGUGAGUAAUGUCUGGGAAACUGCCUGAUGGAGGGGGAUAACUACUGGAAACGGUAGCUAAUACCGCAUAAUGUCGCAAGACCAAAGAGGGGGACCUUCGGGCCUCUUGCCAUCGGAUGUGCCCAGAUGGGAUUAGCUUGUUGGUGGGGUAACGGCUCACCAAGGCGACGAUCCCUAGCUGGUCUGAGAGGAUGACCAGCCACACUGGAACUGAGACACGGCCCAGACUCCUACGGGAGGCAGCAGUGGGGAAUAUUGCACAAUGGGCGCAAGCCUGAUGCAGCCAUGCCGCGUGUAUGAAGAAGGCCUUCGGGUUGUAAAGUACUUUCAG
rnacentral:rRNA from 1 species